rnacentral:rRNA from 1 species
UAGGGAAUAUUGGUCAAUGGGUGAAAGCCUGAACCAGCCAUGCCGCGUGCAGGAAGACGGCCUUCUGGGUUGUAAACUGCUUUUGCCAGGGGAUAAAAUACCCAUGCGUGGGGAAUUGAAGGUACCUGGUGAAUAAGCCACGGCUAACUACGUGCCAGCAGCCGCGGUAAUACGUAGGUGGCAAGCGUUGGCCGGAUUUAUUGGGUUUAAAGGGUGCGUAGGCGGUUCUAUAAGUCAGUGGUGAAAUACGGCAGCUCAACUGUAGAGGUGCCAUUGAUACUGUAGGACUAGAGUACUGUUGAGGUAGGCGGAAUGGACGGUGUAGCGGUGAAAUGCUUAGAUAUCGUCCAGAACACCGAUAGCGAAGGCAGCUUACUAAAGAGUAACUGACGCUGAGGCACGAAAGUGUGGGGAUCAAA